rfam:Picea glauca, whole genome shotgun sequence.
ACAUGCCUACAACAUAGUGUUAAUGCACCGUAUCCCAUUAGAACUCCAUCAUUAAGAACGCUAAGGCUGGAGUAGUACUGGAAUGGGUGAUCGCCUAGGAAGUCCUAGUGUUUUACAUGAC